UACGGAGGGGGCUAGCGUUGUUCGGAAUUACUGGGCGUAAAGCGCACGUAGGCGGCUUUGUAAGUUAGAGGUGAAAGCCCGGGGCUCAACUCCGGUAUUGCCUUUAAGACUGCAUCGCUAGAAUUGUGGAGAGGUAAGUGGAAUUCCGAGUGUAGAGGUGAAAUUCGUAGAUAUUCGGAAGAACACCAGUGGCGAAGGCGACUUACUGGACACAUAUUGACGCUGAGGUGCGAAAGCGUGGGGAGCAAACAGG
rnacentral:rRNA from 1 species